rnacentral:rRNA from 1 species
AGUGAACGCUGGCGGUAGGCCUAACACAUGCAAGUCGAACGGCAGCACAGUAAGAGCUUGCUCUUACGGGUGGCGAGUGGCGGACGGGUGAGGAAUACAUCGGAAUCUACUUUUUCGUGGGGGAUAACGUAGGGAAACUUACGCUAAUACCGCAUACGACCUACGGGUGAAAGCAGGGGAUCUUCGGACCUUGCGCGAUUGAAUGAGCCGAUGUCGGAUUAGCUAGUUGGCGGGGUAAAGGCCCACCAAGGCGACGAUCCGUAGCUGGUCUGAGAGGAUGAUCAGGCAAAAUGGAACUGGGACAAGGUCCAGAAUCCUAAGGGAGGCAGCAGUGGGGAAAAUUGGACAAAGGGCGGAAGCCUGAUCCAGCCAUACCGCGUGGGUGAAGAAGGCCUUCGGGGUGGAAAGCCCUUUUGUUGGGAAAGAAAAGCAGCAGGUUAAUACCCCGCUGUUCUGACGGUACCCAAAGAAUAAGCACCGGCUAACUUCGUG